rnacentral:rRNA from 2 species
GGGGGGGGGGGGCCAAAAAAUGCAAGUUCGAGCGGACAGAUGGGAGCUUGCUCCCCUGAUGUUAGCGGCGGACGGGUGAGUAACACGUGGGUAACCUGCCUGUAAGACUGGGAUAACUCCGGGAAACCGGGGCUAAUACCGGAUGGUUGUUUGAACCGCAUGGUUCAAACAUAAAAGGUGGCUUCGGCUACCACUUACAGAUGGACCCGCGGCGCAUUAGCUAGUUGGUGAGGUAACGGCUCACCAAGGCAACGAUGCGUAGCCGACCUGAGAGGGUGAUCGGCCACACUGGGACUGAGACACGGCCCAGACUCCUACGGGAGGCAGCAGUAGGGAAUCUUCCGCAAUGGACGAAAGUCUGACGGAGCAACGCCGCGUGAGUGAUGAAGGUUUUCGGAUCGUAAAGCUCUGUUGUUAGGGAAGAACAAGUACCGUUCGAAUAGGGCGGUACCUUGACGGUACCUAACCAGAAAGCCACGGCUAACUACGUGCCAGCAGCCGCGGUAAUACGUAGGUGGCAAGCGUUGUCCGGAAUUAUUGGGCGUAAAGGGCUCGCAGGCGGUUUCUUAAGUCUGAUGUGAAAGCCCCCGGCUCAACCGGGGAGGGUCAUUGGAAACUGGGGAACUUGAGUGCAGAAGAGGAGAGUGGAAUUCCACGUGUAGCGGUGAAAUGCGUAGAGAUGUGGAGGAACACCAGUGGCGAAGGCGACUCUCUGGUCUGUAACUGACGCUGAGGAGCGAAAGCGUGGGGAGCGAACAGGAUUAAUCUUUGUGUGUAUUACAAA